rnacentral:rRNA from 1 species
GACGAACGCUGGCGGCGUGCUUAACACAUGCAAGUCGAACGAAGUGGCGAACGGGUGAGUAACGCGUAAGCAACCUGCCCUGCAGAGGGGGACAACAGUUGGAAACGACUGCUAAUACCGCAUACUGAAGGAGGGGAUUGCGUCUGAUUAGCAAGUUGGGGGGGUAACGGCCCACCAAGGCGAUGAUCAGUAGCCGGUCCGGGAGGAGGAACGGCCCAAUUUGGAAUGGGACACGGCCCAGACCCCUACGGGAGGCCGCAAGUGGGAAUCUUCCCCCAUGGACGAAAGUCUGACGGAGCAACGCCGCGUUAGUGAUGACGGCCUUCGGGUUGUAAAGCUCUGUUAAUCGGGACGCGUUACCGGAAUAGAAAGCCACGGCUAACUCCGUGCCAGCAGCCGCGGUAAUUC